AAUUAAUAUUAUUUAAUUAAUUAUAAUUCAAAUCAAAACAUUAAAAAAGUUAGUAAAGGAGAUUAAAAUUUACUAUAUAUUUAAAUAGUACUGUGAAGGAACAUAAUUAAUUUAAAUAAAAGAAAGAAUUAAUAUUUGUACCUUUUGUAUCAUGGUUUAACUAGAUAUAAAUUCAAAUGAAAAUUCUCGAAGCCUAAUGAGCUAUCUUUUAUCUUUAUUAUAGAAUUAAAAACUAAUUGUAGCAGAAAUUUUUUUAGAAUAAAAGAUAGAAAUGAAAUUUUAUACGCAUUAGACGAUAGCUAGUUCUUCUUGAAAAGUAUAUAAGUACUGUUGAUUAAUUUUAUUAAAAUAAUAAUAUUUUAUUAUUUUUUAGUCAAGUUAGAUUUUAAAGGAUAAGCUUUAAAAUUAUAGUAUAUUAUUAUAUAAUUCUUUUUAAAAAUAUAAGCCUGCAAAUAGCUAAUAUAAAAGACUUUGUUAUAAUUCAUUUAAAUUAAAAAGAAAUAAUUCAUUUAUUUUCAGUUUAAAGGAGUAAAUUUAUAAAUUAAAUAAAAAUUAUAUAUAUGUUAAAAUGAGUAUUGAUAAUUUUAUAAACAAUUAAAAUUUUAGUUUAUUUAAAAUUUAAAUAUAUACAUAAAUUAUAAAUUAUAAAAAGGAAUUCAGCAAAAUUAUAUUCCGCCUGUUUAUCAAAAACAUGGCUUCAUGAAUUUAUUAGUAUAUGAAGUCGAACCUGCCCAGUGAAAAUUUUUUAACGGCCGCGGUACUCUGACCGUGCAAAGGUAGCAUAAUCAUUUGCCUUCUAAUUAAAGGCUAGUAUGAAUGGUCUGACGAGAAUAUAGCUGUCUCUUUAUAAUUAUAUAAAAUUUUAUCUCUGGGUGAAAAAGCCCAGAUUAAAUUAAUAGACAAGAAGACCCUAUCGAGCUUAAAAACAUUUUAUAAAACAAGAUUUAUUAUAUAAGAGAACUAAUUAUUAAAUAUUUUGGUUGGGGCAACCAAGGAGCAUAAGAAGCCUCCUUUAAAGUUUACUAAAAAUAUUCAAAUAUUGAUCCAAAAAGUUUGAUUAAAGAAAAUAGUUACCGUAGGGAUAACAGCAUAAUCUUUUUUAAGAGUUCUUAUCGAAAAAAAGGUUUGUGACCUCGAUGUUGGACCAAAGUAUCCUGAAGAUGUAGAAGUCUUUAAGGGUUGGUCUGUUCGACCAUUAAAACUUUACGUGAUCUGAGUUCAGACCGGCGUAAGCCAGGUCAGUUUCUAUCUUUAGUUUAUUAAAUAUAUUUAGUACGAAAGGACCAAUAUAUUAUAUAAAAUAUAACUAUAAAGAAUAAUUAUAAUAACUAAAUUAAGU
rnacentral:rRNA from 1 species